rnacentral:lncRNA from 1 species
CUGUAUGAGUGUUUCUAUGCCGUCAUAAAGCUAGAUAACCGAAAGUAGGAACGGCCUCCUCUGCUGCAGGACAGCAGCACACGCGCACGUGCCCGGUGGAGCCCCUGUAAGAACACAGCUCCUCCCUGAUGCAGCGUCUCUGUGAGAGACCGGAGGACCAUUCACUGGAACAAAACCAUCUGUGACUGCCAGGCCAUUCACACUGUCUUGAUGGAGCACGACAGAAAAAAAAAAUGGCACAACCACCC